UCCAGCUGCAUCUCAUCCCCUCGGUAGUUUAGAUUGCAUUUCAGUCUGCGUCUCGUUGGUUCAUCUGUUUUCGUCCACCCCUCGUCUGUGCCUGUUCUCCAGUCCCCGUGUGCUCCCUGUGCUCCCCAUUUGUUCCAUGUGGUUUUCUGGAACAACAGCAACAAAGUGAUAUUAGACACACCGCUUUCAAUUCAACGGGGAAGAAAAUGUCGUCCGUGUCGGAGUAUCAGUACGGUACAAAGCUGGACGACUCGCAGUUUGCAAGAUAUAAAGACACAAGAUUCCAUCCUUUUGUCAGAGGGAGUCUGAUCGUGCAUCUCGACUUCACUGGAUCUCAGAUAUAAAGGACGCUGCUUUGAUGAGCAUCUUAAACAAAGAGCAUGAGCAGCACUCGACGCACAGCGGAUGGAGAGGCUACUCAUGGCUCUUCCACAUUCAAACCGAAUUACAGUAAUUUAUUUGAAAAAUUCCCCUCCUUGAGUAGGUGGUGGAACAGCAUGCUAAAAGGCUUUUGAGGCUAUUUUUUAUUUUGUUGAAAGAAGAACAUUUCUCAUGGGAAAGAAGGCUCAUCUAAAGGUUGUUAUAUGAAUGUUAUAUGCACAGACCGUGUAAUACAUAAUGGGGGGAUGAAUGUUUUUGCACCUUCGACACACAAAAGAGAGAAAAAAUAACAAUUAAAAAAAAUCUAAAAAGGUCUUUAUCAAUAUUGGCCAAAUGGCUAUUUUAAGUAUCGUAUCAACCCAGGAUCUCCAUAUUGGUGUGUUCUUAGUUGAAAACCAGCUUGCUUACUGGAUUUAUUUUGCUGCAGUACCAGAUUUGGCCACUGGUGAACAAACUAGCAGCAUUGUAACGAUCCAGCUUGUGUCCUUUCUUUUGAUUUGGUGCUUGAGAUCAUUUCCAUGGAUGAAUGCGAUGUCAGCGUGGCUCAUGUUCCUGUUGUUGACACUGUGGUGAUGUUAACCGCUGAGAGCGGCGUGUGUUGUCGCUUCAUGCAUUAGCGCUGAGAGAAUGUCAGCUCUUAAAAGUGCCUCGUUCUCGCUGCUGCAGAGUCUCCACAUUUUGUUUCUCUUUACGCUGUUUUCUAUUUGUCAAGUAAAUCGCUUAAAGAAAAAGUCUCCAUGUCUCCACGUUUUCUUACAAUGUCUGCAACCAAAUUAAAAACAUAUUAUUCAUUAA